rnacentral:rRNA from 1 species
AUUGAACGCUGGCGGCAUGCUUUACACAUGCAAGUCGAACGGUAACAGGGUGCUUGCACCGCUGACGAGUGGCGAACGGGUGAGUAAUGCGUCGGAACGUGCCGAGUAGUGGGGGAUAACGCAUCGAAAGGUGUGCUAAUACCGCAUACGUACUGAGGUAGAAAGUUGGGGACCUUCGGGCCUCACGCUAUUCGAGCGGCCGACGCCUGAUUAGCUAGUUGGUGAGGUAAAGGCUCACCAAGGCGACGAUCAGUAGCGGGUCUGAGAGGAUGAUCCGCCACACUGGGACUGAGACACGGCCCAGACUCCUACGGGAGGCAGCAGUGGGGAAUUUUGGACAAUGGGCGCAAGCCUGAUCCAGCCAUGCCGCGUGUCUGAAGAAGGCCUUCGGGUUGUAAAGGACUUUUGUCCGGGAGCAAAUACCCAGUGCUAAUAACACUGGGGGCUGAGAGUACCGGAAGAAUAAGCACCGGCUAACUACGUGCCAGCCGCCGCGGUAAUAC